rnacentral:rRNA from 1 species
UACGAGUGCCUCAAGCGUUAUCCGGAAUCAUUGGGCGUAAAGGUUGUGUAGGUGGUUUUAUUAGUCUUUUGUUAAAUUCUUCGGCUUAACCGGGGGCAUGCAAAGGAAACGGUAAAACUUGAGGAUGCGAGGGGUCUGUGGAACUCAUAGUGUAGCGGUAAAAUGCGUUGAUAUUAUGGGGAACACCAAAAGCGAAGGCAACAGACUGGAGCACUCCUGACACUGAAACAAGAAAGCGUGGGUCGCGAAUGGG